GAUGAACGCUGGCGGCGUGCCUAAUACAUGCAAGUCGAGCGAACGGACGAGAAGCUUGCUUCUCUGAUGUUAGCGGCGGACGGGUGAGUAACACGUGGAUAACCUACCUAUAAGACUGGGAUAACUUCGGGAAACCGGAGCUAAUACCGGAUGAUAUUUUGAACCGCAUGGUUCAAAAGUGAAAGACGGUCUUGCUGUCACUUAUAGAUGGAUCCGCGCUGCAUUAGCUAGUUGGUAAGGUAACGGCUUACCAAGGCAACGAUGCAUAGCCGACCUGAGAGGGUGAUCGGCCACACUGGAACUGAGACACGGUCCAGACUCCUACGGGAGGCAGCAGUAGGGAAUCUUCCGCAAAGGGCGAAAGCCUGACGGAGCAACGCCGCGUGAGUGAUGAAGGUCUUCGGAUCGUAAAACUCUGUUAUUAGGUAAGAACAUAUGUGUAAGUAACUGUGCACAUCUUGACGGUACCUAAUCAGAAAGCCACGGCUAACUACGUG
rnacentral:rRNA from 1 species